UACGAAGGGGGCUAGCGUUGUUCGGAAUCACUGGGCGUAAAGGGCGCGUAGGCGGCUUUAUAAGUCGGGGGUGAAAGCCUGUGGCUCAACCACAGAAUUGCCUUCGAUACUGUAUGGCUUGAGACCGGAAGAGGUGAGUGGAAUUCCGAGUGUAGAGGUGAAAUUCGUAGAUAUUCGGAGGAACACCAGUGGCGAAGGCGGCUCACUGGUCCGGUACUGACGCUGAGGUGCGAAAGCGUGGGGAGCAAACAGG
rnacentral:rRNA from 1 species